rnacentral:tRNA from 1 species
UCCCUCAUAACUUAGUUGGUAGAGAAUCUACCUGCAAUGCAGAAGACUCAGGUUUGAUUCCUGGGUUGGGAA